rnacentral:rRNA from 1 species
GCUUCUGAAGAAUCAUUUGAAGUACUUAGUGGCGGACGGGUGAGUAACGCGUGGGUAACCUGCCUCACACAGGGGGAUAACAGUUGGAAACGACUGUUAAUACCGCAUAAGCGCACAGUACCGCAUGGUACGGUGUGAAAAACUCCGGUGGUGUGAGAUGGACCCGCGUCUGAUUAGCCAGUUGGCGGGGUAACGGCCCACCAAAGCUACGAUCAGUAGCCGGCCUGAGAGGGUGUACGGCCACAUUGGGACUGAGACACGGCCCGAACUCCUACGGGAGGCAGCGGUGGGGAAUAUUGCACAAUGGGGGAAACCCUGAUGCAGCGACGCCGCGUGAGUGAUGAAGUAUUUCGGUAUGUAAAACUCUAUCAGCAGGGAAGAUAAUGACGGUACCUGACUAAGAAGCACCGGCUAAAUACGUGCCAGCAGCCGCGGUAAUACGUAUGGUGCAAGCGUUAUCCGGAUUUACUGGGUGUAAAGGGUGCGUAGGUGGUAGUGCAAGUCAGAAGUGAAAACUAUGGGCUCAACCCAUAGACUGCUUCUGAUACUGUUCAACUAGAGUGCAGGAGAGGAAAGUGGAAUUCCUAGUGUAGCGGUGAAAUGCGUAGAUAUUAGGAGGAACACCAGUGGCGAAGGCGGCUUUCUGGACUGCAACUGACACUGAGGCACGA